rnacentral:rRNA from 1 species
GAUGAACGCUGGCGGCGUGCCUAAUACACGCAAGUCGAGCGAACGGACGAGAAGCUUGCUUCUCUGAUGUUAGCGGCGGACGGGUGAGUAACACGUGGAUAACCUACCUAUAAGACUAGGAUAACUUCGGGAAACCGGAGCUAAUACCGGAUGAUAUCUUGAACCGCAUGGUUCAAAAGUGAAAGACGGUCUUGCUGUCACUUAUAGAUGGAUCCGCGCUGCAUUAGCUAGUUGGUAAGGUAACGGCUUACCAAGGCAACGAUGCAUAGCCGACCUGAGAGGGUGAUCGGCCACACUGGAACUGAGACACGGUCCAGACUCCUACGGGAGGCAGCAGUAGGGAAUCUUCCGCAAUGGGCGAAAGCCUGACGGAGCAACGCCGCGUGAGUGAUGAAGGUCUUCGGAUCGUAAAACUCUGUUAUUAGGGAAGAACAUAUGUGUAAGUAACUGUGCACAUCUUGACGGUACCUAAUCAGAAAGCCACGGCUAACUACGUG